AACUCCAAAAUAAUGUGAUAAAUGGAGAAGACGCUGGUGGCAAUGUUACUAUUAAUUUCCCCGAAUUCCUUUCAAUGAUGGCAUGGAAAAUGAGCGAAACAAUUCCAAGAAUGAUUUAAAAGAAACACGUUCAAAGAAUGGUUUGUAUUAUGAUGUCUUAGUAGAACAUUGCUACAAGAAUCGUUAACUUCUUCCCUGAAAUGUUUCACCCUACAUACAUGUACAUGUUACCAAAGACAUAUAUUAAAAUGUUAUCAUAUGCAAAUACAUCUUCUGAAGUGUAAUAUACGGUAAAUAUUUGGGAUCUACACAACAAGAAGUUUUACUUUUGUUUCAAAACUACUUAUAGUACGAUUUGACAACAUGAUCGUAAGACUAGUUUAUAUUCUUUAAAUAUGAUUAAAAUUGCACUGGUUUUUUUUAAAAUAGUCAAAAGUAAAAUCACAAAAAUACUGAACUCCGAGGAAAAUUCACAACAGAAAGUUCCUAAUUAAAUGGCAAAAUCAAAUGAUAAUAUACAACGAACGGCCAACAACUGUCAUAUUCCUGAUUUGGUACAGGCAUUUUCAAAUGUAGAAAAUGGUGGAUUGAACAAGGUUUUAUAGCGCUAAACCCCUCACUUGUAUGACAGUCGCAUCAAAUACAAUAUUAAAUUAACAACGAUGAGUGUACAAAACAGACAUAAUAGGUAAAUAGUCAAAAAAGGGUACAACAGGCAUCACUGUGUCACAAUCACAGGACUUUCGCUAUAUAAUUGAAUCGUAAUUUGUUUUUGAUUUUAUAAAAGUGGACACAUUUGCAUGAAGCGAGAACGUGAUUCUUGUUAAAUAUGAGUUUUAAAGGCAUAACCGUUAAUAACAAUAAAUGUCACUUUUCUUGACUGCUGUUACCCUUUUUUUGACAU